UGGGGAAUAUUGGACAAUGGGCGCAAGCCUGAUCCAGCCAUACCGCGUGGGUGAAGAAGGCCUUCGGGUUGUAAAGCCCUUUUGUUGGGAAAGAAAAGCAGCUGGUUAAUACCCGGUUGUUCUGACGGUACCCAAAGAAUAAGCACCGGCUAACUUCGUGCCAGCAGCCGCGGUAAUACGAAGGGUGCAAGCGUUACUCGGAAUUACUGGGCGUAAAGCGUGCGUAGGUGGUUGUUUAAGUCUGUCGUGAAAGCCCUGGGCUCAACCUGGGAAUUGCGAUGGAAACUGGGCGACUAGAGUGUGGCAGAGGAUAGUGGAAUUCCUGGUGUAGCAGUGAAAUGCGUAGAGAUCAGGAGGAACAUCCGUGGCGAAGGCGACUGUCUGGGCCAACACUGACACUGAGGCACGAAAGCGUGGGGAGCAAACA
rnacentral:rRNA from 1 species